CAGCAACCAUCAAGUGCUUGGUAUUGUGCCUCCUUUUUAAGGCUAAGGGAAAUCUUUGUUGAGACAGCUGAAACGAAAGCUUGUCUUUUGUAUCCCAGCAAUGUUUUUCUAUUGUAGCUUACUGUAUCCAUUUCUGUGGUGUGUUUAGAGUGUUUCUUUUUCACUGUGUGCUGUGUUGUGUUUUGUGGGCAGGGUGUGGGGACCGCCUACAGGACAGUAGUGGAAACUUCUCCUCUCCUGGUUAUCCCAAUGGAUAUGCAGCCUAUGUCCACUGUAUCUGGAGGAUCUCUGUCACACCUGAAGAGAAAGACGUUACUGUGGGGACAGUCUACCUGGCCCCAUCGUUUCCACGGACUGUCGGCUAUGGAUAGAUUCCAGGAGCAGCAGCAACUGGGUGGGCAAGGGCUUCUCAGCCGUGUAUGAAGCCAUCUGUGG
rnacentral:lncRNA from 8 species